rnacentral:rRNA from 1 species
GACGAACGCUGGCGGCGUGCCUAAUACAUGCAAGUAGAACGCACAGUUUAUACCGUAGCUUGCUACACCAUAAACUGUGAGUUGCGAACGGGUGAGUAACGCGUAGGUAACCUGCCUGGUAGCGGGGGAUAACUAUUGGAAACGAUAGCUAAUACCGCAUAAUAUUAAUUAUUGCAUGAUAAUUGAUUGAAAGAUGCAAUUGCAUCACUACCAGAUGGACCUGCGUUGUAUUAGCUAGUAGGUGAGGUAACGGCGCACCUAGGCGACGAUACAUAGCCGACCGGAGAGGGUGAUCGGCCACACUGGGACGGAGACACGGCCCAGACGGCUACGGGAGGCAGCAGUAGGGAAUCGUCGGCAAGGGACGAAAGUCUGACCGAGCAACGCCGCGUGAGUGAAGAAGGUUGUCGGAUCGUAAAGCUCGGUUGUAAGAGAAGAACGGGUGUGAGAGUGGAAAGUUCACACUGUGACGGUAUCUGACCAGAAAGGGACGGCUAACUACGUG